AAGGGUUUAAUAGUAGCAGUCAAGUAAAAAGAGGGCUGUAUAUUUUUAAUAAUGUGACUUUUCCCACCAUACUUUCUAUGAACAAGGAUUUAGGAACAAUCUAAAUCUCUCUUUAUGCACAAUGUGUUUCAUGCAGUCAUUAAUUGCUCCAUAAAUGGUUAUUUGUAAUCAGCUUUUUCCCUUGAAAUGAUCUUUCCUACAGUUCAGCUUUAGCUUAGGAGAUGAAUACAACGUAUUCAAGCAUUUUUGUAGAAAACAUUCCUAGAGGUGAAAAGUGUAGGCAAGGAAGAUGGCUGAACUAUGGGGAUGAUUCCUUGGCCUUUUCUGGUUGUAUUUGACCCAUAAUGAUGACAGAAAUAGCAAUUGGGCAACACUUUCAAACUCUCAUUCACUUCUUCUACAAAUUUCAUCAAUGUGGUAUUAUCAUGCCUGGGAACAAUAAUACAUAUGGGAACAAUAAGUUCAUAUGUCUCCCUAGCUUUGAUGCUAGAUUCAUGGUAUACAUCCUGUGCAGUUAGUUAUAUGGGACCACAGCUCGGAGGAACCCGGACAUGGUUUAAUGUUCAGUUGUCAUCUUGAAAUUUUAAAUAAUUUUUCAAGUGCCCACACUUCUGUUUUUAAAUUGCAUAACAAACCUCAACAUAUCUGCCUUUGGAUACUUAAACAUUUUCUCUCCUCUCAUAUCUAUGAAUGUCCUUGCUGAGCUACAUGUUACAUCUUGGUGUUCCUAAAACAUCUCCCAGGCUUUCAGAAUAAACUACUAAGUGCAUUAUUCAAGAUAAACAAUGCUCUUCAUGUGUGUUAGCAAAUGAAUACAAUGGUGUCAACAUGUUUAUCUUUGACUGGUGUCUGCCACUGAACUGUGGAUUAUAUACAUUUUGUUCACCUAUCAUCACAAACCUAUGAGAUAAGUACUACAAUUCUGUUUUUUUUUUUUUUCUUUUUACAGAUAGGAGAGCUGAGGCUGAGAAGUCAGUGAAAGGUAGGGCUCACUACUGAAUCCUGAUUUUUUAAAUUUCAGGCUCUUUCCCAUUUUGUACCUUUAGUAACCUGAGUUGGGAAAGCUGUCUCCUCAGGUCUAAGCUUUGCCCCAAUGGUCCGAAGAGUGUUCCAGUUUUUACACCUUGGCCUAUUGCACAGAAUCAGUCAGUAGUUUGGUGAAAAGCUAGGAUAGCUUGUUCUAGGCUCUUCCAUGUGUUCUUCUUUGUAUCUCCUAGGAUCAUCCAUGAAACUAGACAUGAGCCAGUAUCAUUGUUUUCACUGGGAGGGGUGGAGAAGCAGACAAAGCUUCUACAAGAACAGGUGUGCUCUGGGCUCUGGAGUCCAAAGCAAUAUUGAAUGCACAUUCCUUACUCAGCUGCACUUGUAGAUAUGUAGUGAGAAAGGACAGCCAUUUACUUACUGUUUUCCAUUUUUGACAUCUGUUGUGUGCCAGGCAUUGAUGAGAAAAUAAUAAUAAGGAUAAUAAUAAUAAUAAUAAUCACAACAACAAAAUAGCCUCUACUUUCCAGAAGGUCACACACUGGCAGAAAGGUGAAAACUUAUAACCUUCAUCUCAACAUUUUGUUUACUUUCAUUCUAAAGCCAAGGAGUCAGGCUGUGGAGCAAACUUAGGAAACGAGUUGAACAUUAUCUCUGAAGCUCAUAGGACUUCUCCCUGUCUGAACCUUGUUACACACAUUAAGGUCCUGGGUUUGACAGCCUGAAAAUUAAGCCCAUCAUGAUUUGCAUGCUGGCUUAAGAGCAGUGUCCAACCUUAGCAACUAGAAAUGCAAUUUUUUUUUUAAAGUGACUUAAAGAAUCAUCAAGUAGCAGACAGGUUCAGCCUUGAGUUCCACCCUUACUUAGAUCAAAGCUUUAUAGAAUCACUGGUUGUUUAACAGCCAGCAGGGUGAGAAGACCAGAAUUAUGCUCAGCAAAUGUAGGAAUGGAGCAGAGUUCUGUUUGUGUUUCCAUGGUUACAGUGAUAACAGCUUAUAUUUAUAGACCUUCCAUCUCCAAGGAGCUCAAAGCACUUUAGAGACACAUUAUCUCUAUUUUACAGGAGGAAGAGAGACAAGAAUACUGACAGAGAGAAUGAGCUAGCAAGCAAGCAAAGAGACAGCCACAGGCACAGAGACACAGAAAACUGUGGAAAAAAGGAAAGGGGGAAAGGAAGGGAGGGAGAAAAGAUAAAAGAGGGACAGAAGGACAUAAUGUGCUAUUGUUUACCUUUCACAGAUGGCACAGAGUAGAGAAGGCAAUGACCCAGGGUGGUAUGGCAGUGACAGAUGGCAGAUAGUGGAUGUACCAACUGGCUCAUAUAACUCCUAGAAUCUUUGUUGAUGGCCUUAGACAGAUGUCAGGACUGAACUACUAUCUCAUAGUCACCUGGUUCUGCUCAGUGUCGUAAUGGAGAUCAAAUAACUCUGAAAACAUCCAAGUUAGUUUGGCUCAGCUAUUGUUGAUUGGAAAUGCAAGGGCAGUUCUUCCAUGGAGAUCUAGGGUUAAUGUCCAAAGGCCUCAAACCAGAUAGCCACCAAGCAGUCCCAGGGAUGAGAGGCCUAGAUGUCCUGAUAACCUCACACCCAGAGGACCUACAAGAACUGGUGGAAAUGAUUCCCUAAAGGGAACCAAUUUCCAGGACCUUUCGAUGGAACGCCUCUUAUGUACAGCUUCCUGUAACACAAUCCUAAUCUAUUAGGUAUAUAGUGUGUGGCUAUGAGUUAUUUGAAACUAAGAAUGACUUGUGAAUCUCAAAUCUUCUCUUCUCUUGUAAAAUAUGUACAAGAAAAACCCAUGUUCUCUGGUGGAGGUCUCUCCUCUGGAAAGAGAGGGGAAAGUUGAAAUGACUCUUAGGCUCCCUCAUUCUGGAGGCAUUCUGUCCUUACUCUACUUCAGUCAGACUCUGCUCAGUCUGAUUCCCACCAUUUGCUUUCAUAGGCAGAAAACCCUCUCCACUACUUCACUCACUUCCUACUUAGCCUUUGAAAAAGAGGAACUAUUGAACUAUUCUGUCUCCCUCUAUCUCUCCCCAUCCCCUCCCCUCUCUUAGAGUACUCAGCUGACUCAGUACCUGCACAGU